UUGAUCCUGCCAGUAGUCAUAUGCUUGUCUCAAAGAUUAAGCCAUGCAUGUCUCAGUACAAGCCUCAUUAAGGUGAAACCGCGAAAGGCUCAUUAAAUCAGUUAUGGUUCCUUAGAUCGUACGCACAUUUACUUGGAUAACUGUGGUAAUUCUAGAGCUAAUACAUGCAAACAGAGUUCCGACCGGAGACGGGAGGAAUGCUUUUAUUAGAUCAAAACCAAUCGGCGGCGGGCGCGCUCGCGCACCCGUUCGCCGCUCAACCUGGUGACUCUGAAUAACUUUCGGCUGAUCGCACGGUCCAGCACCGGCGACGCAUCUUUCAAAUGUCUGCCUUAUCAACUGUCGAUGGUAGGUUCUGCGCCUACCAUGGUCGUAACGGGUAACGGGGAAUCAGGGUUCGAUUCCGGAGAGGGAGCCUGAGAAACGGCUACCACAUCCAAGGAAGGCAGCAGGCGCGCAAAUUACCCACUCCCGGCACGGGGAGGUAGUGACGAAAAA
rnacentral:rRNA from 1 species